rnacentral:tRNA from 1 species
GCCCAUGUAGCUCAGUAGGUAGAGCGUCACCUUGGUAAGGUGGAGGUCACCAGUUCAAAUCUGGCCGUGGGCU